rnacentral:rRNA from 1 species
GGUCAGGAUGAACGCUAGCGACAGGCUAACACAUGCAAGUCGAGGGGCAGCAUAAAAGUAGCAAUACUUGGUGGCGACCGGCGCACGGGUGAGUAACGCGUAUGCAACCUACCUAUCAGAGGGGAAUAACCCGGCGAAAGUCGGACUAAUACCGCAUAAAGCAGGGGCACCGCAUGGUGAUAUUUGUUAAAGAAAUUCGCUGAUAGAUGGGCAUGCGUUCCAUUAGGUAGUUGGUGAGGUAACGGCUCACCAAGCCGACGAUGGAUAGGGGAACUGAGAGGUUGGUCCCCCACACUGGUACUGAGACACGGACCAGACUCCUACGGGAGGCAGCAGUGAGGAAUAUUGGUCAAUGGGCGGGAGCCUGAACCAGCCAAGUCGCGUGAAAGGAAGAAGGAUCUAUGGUUCGUAAACUUCUUUUGCAGGGGAAUAAAGUGCAGGACGUGUCCUGUUUUGUAUGUACCCUGAGAAUAAGGAUCGGCUAACUCCGUGCCAGCAGCGGC